GACGAACGCUGGCGGCGUGCUUAACACAUGCAAGUCGAACGGAAAGGCCCUGCUUGCCGGGUACUCGAGUGGCGAACGGGUGAGUAACACGUGGGUGAUCUGCCCUGCACUUCGGGAUAAGCCUGGGAAACUGGGUCUAAUACCGGAUAGGAGCCAUUUUUAGUGUGAUGGUUGGAAAGUUUUUUCGGUGUAGGAUGAGCUCGCGGCCUAUCAGCUUGUUGGUGGGGUAAUGGCCUACCAAGGCGGCGACGGGUAGCCGGCCUGAGAGGGUGGACGGCCACAUUGGGACUGAGAUACGGCCCAGACUCCUACGGGAGGCAGCAGUGGGGAAUAUUGCACAAUGGGCGCAAGCCGGAUGCAGCGACGCCGCGGGGGGGAGGACGGCCUUCGGGUUGUAAACGCCUUUCGCUAGGGACGAAGCUUUUUGUGACGGUACCUAGAGAAGAAGCACCGGCUAACUACGUG
rnacentral:rRNA from 1 species